AAAAAAAAAAAAAAAAAAUCCGUCUUCUAGAGUCAGACAAACGACGCACAGAGGAAUCCAUCCAUUCAACCCAAGUCAUCAAUCCUUAUGGAGACUUUUAGUUAAAGACUAACUACUAGCUUAAGAGACCUUUUUUACCUGACAACGGCUUAACCCUGUUAACUGCACGUGCCAGUCAUAGGUGCUGCUCUGAUACCAUUUGUUUAACCGAACUCGGUCAGAUCAGCCACACUCUGGUCUGGUGCAGCCUCGGGCUUUCAUUGAGAUGCUGCUGAGGAGGUGUUGAUCACGUGCUGCUGGUGGGUGUGAAAACCGAAAUUCCCAAAGAGACGCUGUACCAUGAAAAGCAAACCAUGAUGCCAAAUUGCUGAUCGUCAAUACUUAUCCUCUAGGGAUCAAUCAAACAGUACAUGUAUCUCUGGCAAAAUGAUCUUGUAAAUCUCAUCAUGUCAUCGUCAAGAUAAGAAAAAGAGAAAAGAAGAAGCACCGUUCAGCGCGUUUUGCUUGUUUGACAUGAUUCAAACAAUAAAGUAUGCAUUUGAAUGAAUAUAAAAUUUCAAAUGAAAAUGUUGACAGGCAUUACGCUACCAUUCAGCAGAGGAAUUUUACUACAAUGUAAUUUCACAUAGCUAUGAUUGAAAAACACAGCUAAGGAUAAGAGGCUAGAUUAGAGAAUAUCCAAAAUGAAGUUGGGCUAACAUGUGUACAUACCAUGGCAUCAUUUAUCGCGUAAGUCACACAGUAGUGCUCCUGAAAAACAGCAGUUCAGGACAAAAAUGAGAGCUAACAACAUCAGCAACAAUAACAGAAAAACUCAUUGCAAUUUAUGGCCACUAAUGUAUCAAUCACCACUUGACAAAUGCCCUUUUUCAUACGUGUGCAUUAAACAGAUUUCUAUUUGGUCUAGGCCCACACAUCAAUAUCAAGCAUUGUUAUUAAGAAUCUAUAGCACUUGAAAUCUUUUGCAACGCAAAAGAGGAUUUAGCUUGCCUGCAUCAUGUGCCACUCUUCAAACUCGUCAAAUAAUUCCAGUCGUUCAAUCCUGUGCCUUUCUUGAGCUUCAAUAAAAUCACUAUAAACUCUCAGCAUGUCCCAAGCAACAGCCCUCUGACACCUCAAAUGGUGUGCAAGAAAAAGUAUUUAAAAAUUUUAGAGAAAAAAAAUGGCAACUUAAAUAAAACAAAGGAAAUGAAGCUAAGGGGGGAAAACAGUUUUGGUGAAUAACCCUAUGUAUCACCAACUAUAUUCCCUAAUAACACAUGUUUGAAUGUUUCAAUUGCAUAAUAACACAUGUUUGAAUGCAUCAAUUGCCUAAUAACAAAUGUUUGAAUGUUACAAUUCCAGCUGCAAGUAGCACAAAUAAUAUUGAACCACCAUUUAAGUGAUACUUUGGAGGGAAAAAAUUCUGUGCCCAAAAUUAAUUGAAUGGCAUAACAAAUCUCUUUACUCCAAAAUUAUACUAUGAUCACUAAUCAAAACUAUUUUGAUAAAAAACAUUUGUAAUCCACACAUUAAGCACCUGGAGCAAGAAGAAACUUGUGUAAACUCUGAUAACCUUUGCAUUUAAGCACACUAUAUGGAUGAACAAUUUCUUUUUUUUUUUUCUAUCAAGAAAAAGGCAGGAAUAUAGUUUCAUUCCCAGGAAAAUUUUCCUUUAAAGUAUACCUGCCAUCCCUGAUCAAGAAAAAGUUUUUCCUUUGCAAGCAAAGUUGGUGUAGCAUAAAUCCCCAAUAGUGCACAGCCACGACUCUAAAGACCAAAAGAUGAAGAAGAAGAAGAAGAAGUAAUUGAACAUGAUAACAAUAUUGAAACUAAUAAUAAAAAGAGUGAGCAAGUAAGCACCAAUAUAGAACUGCACCCUUUAAUAGUUGAACACAUGAAAAAAAUCCAAAUUACUUGAGAAUUCAUAAAAGUGUAAAAAGAAAGAAAUAUCCAAACCUCCAAAUUCUUUAUCAUUUGCUGCCCAAAAGCAUCUUCAGGGAGGAUCUGCUCGUAUAAGAAAAAAGCAGCUGUUGAAAAUUUCUUUGCUGCCCAACCAACUAAAGCACAGGUUGAAUCUGGAUCCAAGUAUAUUAGAACGCAUUCUGCAAUUAUAAAAGUUGGCAAGCUGAUAACAGUAUCAGAGCAAAGCAAAUCAUUGUUCCCUCAUCAUGAAGAUAUAACCAGCCUCCACAAAGAAAAUGACAAGGGAAAACUCAACAUGGAGAAAUUCUUCAUCCAGAAAAAAGCCAUUUGAUGCAUUAAACUUGCAUACUUUCUUGCAUAUCAAUGAGAGCAAGAAGGAUGAAUAAUGGGAAAAUUAUAAGGGAAAACCUAGACAAUGAUACUUUUCAGCAAAACGAGAUGGUACUGAAAAGCUAUACAUAUAAACAUAUUCCUCUUGACAGGUUGGAGUGCAUGGAAAGGAGCAAAUAGUGACCAAAAGACCAUCACAAUCACUUCUUAGAAAUGAGGAUUUUAAAUUACCUAAGAACACCAUAGAAGUAAGAUAAUGAAAUUUGAUCAACAAAACGGAAAGAAAAUCAACUCUCUAUGCAUACUUAGGGUCCAUAUUAGCCAGUGCUAUGAUUUCAUCUAGUUUUUGUAUAUCGCGCAGGUCAACUGGUAGUAGCUUGUAAUGAUCACUGAGCACUUCUCCUUUCUCUCGUGAGAUUGAUGCUGUAGCCCCAACUUUGUAUGACUGUAGGAUUCAAUAAUUGCCCCCUUUUUACUAGUUACCUAACAAAGCCCUUACGUAAGUUGAGAGGAAACAGCUAAACCUUGGGCCAGCAAACAUAAAUAGGUUAAUAUAGUUGUAACCUCAUGGCACAAAAAUAUGCUAGUACGCUGCUAGAUUAACUCAUAGGAUAGCAAUGCAUGUUUCAAACUCAGACCUCGUUGAAAUCCAGCUCCACAUAUAAAGAUGGUGCUUUUCCCUCAUCCUGCAACUGAAAGUAAGUUGCAUCAAAACCUGCUCCAAUUGACAAUAUCUGCUUCUUGAUGUGCCCUUCUUCAUC
rnacentral:misc_RNA from 1 species